CCGUGGGACGCCCCAAUGGCGGGGCAGCGGUUUGUAGGUCCGCCGCGUCUUCGGACGCAUGGCAGGUUCGAUCCCUGCCCCACGGA
rnacentral:tRNA from 1 species